rnacentral:rRNA from 1 species
UGGGGAAUAUUGGACAAUGGGCGAAAGCCUGAUCCAGCAAUGCCGCGUGAGUGAUGAAGGCCCUAGGGUUGUAAAGCUCUUUUACCCGGGAUGAUAAUGACAGUACCGGGAGAAUAAGCCCCGGCUAACUCCGUGCCAGCAGCCGCGGUAAUACGGAGGGGGCUAGCGUUUUUCGGAAUUACUGGGCGUAAAGCGCACGUAGGCGGCUUUGUAAGUCAGAGGUGAAAGCCCGGAGCUUAACUCCGGAAUUGCCUUUGAGACUGCAUCGCUUGAAUCCGGGAGAGGGGAGUGGAAUUCCGAGUAUAGAGGUGAAAUUCGUAGAUAUUCGGAAGAACACCAGUGGCGAAGGCGGCUCACUGGACCGGUAUUGACGCUGAGGUGCGAAAGCGUGGGGAG